rnacentral:tRNA from 1 species
AACAAGAUGCCUGACAAAAGGAUUAUUUUGAUAGAAUAAAUUAUGUAAUUUAAUUACUCUUGUUA